AACGAACGUUAGCGGCGCGCCUAACACAUGCAAGUCGAACGCGACAGGGGCAACUCUGUUGAGUGGCGCACGGGUGAGUAACACGUAGGUAAUCUCCCCUCGAGUGGUGGAUAACCUUCCGAAAGGAGGGCUAAUACAGCAUAAGACCACGGCUUCGAAAGGAGCUGAGGUCAAAGCGGAGGAUCGCAAGACUUCGCGCUUGAGGAUGAGCCUGCGGCCCAUCAGGUAGUUGGCGGAGUAACAGCCCACCAAGCCUAAGACGGGUAGCUGGUCUGAGAGGAUGAUCAGCCACACUGGAACUGAGACACGGUCCAGACUCCUACGGGAGGCAGCAGUGGGGAAUCUUGCGCAAUGGACGAAAGUCUGACGCAGCGACGCCGCGUGGGUGAUGAAGGCCUUCGGGUUGUAAAGCCCUGUGGGGAGGGACGAAUAAGUUGCAGCUAAUACCUGCAGCGAUGACGGUACCUCCUUAGCAAGCACCGGCUAACUCUGUGCCAGCCGCCGCGGUAACAC
rnacentral:rRNA from 1 species